ensembl:lncRNA
CCCAACACAGGGGAAGAAACUGCUGGUCCUCUGAGGAGCACUGUCCAGAUGGUGGAGCCUCUAGGAGCCUGGGUCUCUUGGAGCGGACAGCGUGAGCAGAGCCCCAGCUGACCACAUUGGGCACAGAGCAUGUGUUUUAAGCUACUGAUAUUUGCAGGUGUUUGUUUCCUCUGUAUACCCCAAUCUAUCCUGAUUAUCCCAUUUCACAGAGGAGGAAACUGAGGCACAGAGAAGUAACUUGACUGAAGUCGUACAUCUAGGAGACGGUGGAGCCAGGAUUCAAAGUCAACCGUCUAUUAGUCCUUGCUGUUUAGAACCCUGGAAUGACUCAGAUGGCCAUCUUUUCUGAGGCUUCGCUCUUAGCUUUCUCACUGGGAGAAAUUUUACUCCUCCCUCCCCGACCCCAGACAUUUGGCAACGUCUAGAGAUAUUUUUGGUCAUCACAACUUGGGGGGUGGGAGGGGAGCUGCUGGCAUCGGGGUGAGUAGAAGCCAGGUACGCUGCUAAGAGUCCUAUCGUGCACAGGACGUCCCCCACCACAAAGAAUUACCCAUCCCCAAACUUCAAUAGCACCGCUGUGGAGAAGCCCCAACUUACACGAAAUUCCUCUGUUGCUUAAACUAACCGCAGUUGGCUGCUUCUGCUUGCAGCUGGAGACUUAGUUGGGUUGUUAUGAGUUAGUUAAUUAAUUAAUUGCAAACAGUGGGGUGUCGGUGCUGGGCCUGGUCCUAUUUGACAUUUGCCUAACUAAUGUGGAGGAGUAAGUGGUGAGAGCCCCACAUUCGCUGAUGACACUUAGCUGUGCCAGGUAGUGAAAUGCCAAGCCGCUGGUGAUAAGCUGCGGGAAGAUCUCACCAGGCUGUGCGAGUGGGCAGAGGAGUUGCCAAGGAGGAGCUUCAGUGUGGGCAAGUGCAAGGUGCUGUGUUUGGCAAAAAAUAAUCCCAGCUAUACUUAGAGGCUGGAAGAGGACGGAAGAGGAUAGAAGAAAAUGAAUAAAAAUUGAAAGGACUCCAGAGAGUGAUUCCCACGCCUGAUUCUAAGGCUCACCUGCGCUCUGGCUAACAACACCACAGGCCCUGGCAUGGGCUUGACCCGAGGCCUGGGCACUGCUACUUGGCUGCUUUUUAUUUUCUGCAGGAAUACAGACCCAGUUUCUCCAGAUUUCCUGAUUUUCAAGAGAAGCCCCAAAUCCUGACUUUUAUGUCAUGGCUUUUGCCAAGCGGUGCCAUGUCUGCACCCGGGAUCCGAACCGGCGAACCCUGGGCUGCCGAGAAGUGGAACGUGCGAACUUAACUGCUGCGCCACCGGGCCGGCCCUCUCCUUUUUUUUUUUGGUCACUUUUUAUUUCAAUAUAGUGUCAAGCCUAUAGAAAAAAAUGCAAGGAUGGCAUAAAGAGCUCCUAUACCCUUUACCCAGAUUCACCAGUUGCUAACAUUUUGCCCAAUUUGCUUUAUCAUUUUAAGUUCCCAAUUUUUGUAAACAUCCCAUGGAUCAAGCUAAAGAAGAAUGUGAAUGGACUUUGGUCCUUAAACCAUCAGCUGGUGACUUCUGAAGCUCAGGCUCCCCUCAGACCAAAUAAAUGAGAAUCUAGGCGGCGGACAUUUGUAUUUUAAAAAAUUUCCUCCAGCUGGUGCUAACGCGCAGCUAGGGCUGAGAACUGUCAUGGUGAUUCCAUUCCCCCUAUUCGUGACUGGCUUAGGGGUGGCCACGUGACCCAGUUGCGGUCAGUGAGAAUAAGGAGAAAGUCUAACGGAGUGCUUCUAAGAAAGGUUUCUUCCCGCUUCAAGAUACACAGGAGAGCGGCAGCUCUCCUGUUAGGUGCUGUCUCUGCAUUUGAUGGAUACUGGCCUAAGGAUGCAAGUGUGAAAACACGGAAAGACUGUGGGUCUUUAAAUUUAUCUUUGAGCUGCUGAAUUAACUAAGCUUGGGGCCCGUUUAUCUCGAGAUUUCUUUUUAUGGAAGAUACAUUUUUCUUCCUUAG